rnacentral:hammerhead_ribozyme from 1 species
AUCCAACUGACGAGUCCCAAAUAAGACGAAAAGCGUCCUGGAC